UACGUAGGGUCCGAGCGUUGUCCGGAAUUACUGGGCGUAAAGAGCUCGUAGGUGGUUUGUCGCGUUGUUCGUGAAAACUCACAGCUUAACUGUGGGCGUGCGGGCGAUACGGGCAGACUUGAGUACUGCAGGGGAGACUGGAAUUCCUGGUGUAGCGGUGGAAUGCGCAGAUAUCAGGAGGAACACCGGUGGCGAAGGCGGGUCUCUGGGCCGAUACUGACGUGAGGAGCGAAAGCGUGGGGAGCAAACAGG
rnacentral:rRNA from 1 species